CGCAAGGUUAAGGUGGAAAGACCGGAGCCGUAGCGAAAGCGAGUCUGAAAUGGGGGCAUUAGUCUGUUGUUGUAGACCCGACACCAGGUGACCUACCCAUGUCCAGGGUGAAGGUGCGGUAAAACGCACUGGAGGCCCGAACCCGUGCAUGUUGAAAAAUGCUGGGAUGAGGUGUGGGUAGCGGUGAAAUUCCAAUCGAACUUGGAGAUAGCUGGUUCUCUCCGAAAUAGCUUUACGGCUCGCCUCGCAAUGUAGCGUGUUGGAGGUAGAGCACUGUUUUGGUGCGGGGCCCAUCUCGGGUUACCAAAUUAAGAUAAACUCCGAAUGCCAAUCACGUAUGUCCGGGAGUCAGACAGUGAGUGAUAAGAUCCAUUGUCGAAAGGGGAACAGCCCAGAUCGUCAGUUAAGGUCCCUAAGUGUGUGUUAAGUGGAAAAGGAUGUGGAGCUGCAUAGACAACUAGGAUGUUGGCUUAGAAGCAGCCACUCAUUUAAAGAGUGCGUAAUAGCUCACUGGUCGAGUGACUCUGCGCCGAAGAUAAACGGGGCUGAAACCUGACACCGAAGCUUUGGAUACAUUAUGUAUGGUAGAGGAGCAUCGUAUACGGGCAGAAGCGUGACCGUAAGGAAACGUGGACUGUAUACGAGAGAGAAUGUUGGCAUGAGUAGCGAGAGGCAGGUGAGAAUCCUGCCCGCCGAAAAUCUGAGGAUUCCUGAGGAAGGUUCGUCCGCUCAGGGUAAGUCGGGACCUAAGCCGAGAACGAAAGUUGUAGGCGAUGGACAACAGGUUGAGAUUCCUGUACCACCGAGGAUCAUUUGAAUGAAGUGGGGACGCAGGAGGAUAGGCUGAGCGCGCCGUUGGUGGAGCGCGUCCAAGCACGGAGGGAGUUGACCAGGCAAAUCCGGUCAGCGAGUUCCUGACGUGUGAUGGGGAGGGAAAACAAGUACCGAGGCAGCUGAUUUCACACUGCCAAGAAAAGCCGCUGGUGAGAUCCAAGGUGCCCGUACCGCAAACCGACACAGGUAGAUGAGGAGAGAAUCCUAAGGCGAGCGAGAGAACUAUUGUUAAGGAACUCGGCAAAAUGACCCCGUAACUUAGGGAGAAGGGGUGCUGCAGAAAUGCAGCCGCAGUGAAGAGGCCCAGGCGACUGUUUACCAAAAACACAGGUCUCUGCGAAAGCGAAAGCUGAAGUAUAGGGGCUGACGCCUGCCCGGUGCUGGAAGGUUAAGGGGAAGUGUCAGGGCGACCGAAGCACAGAACUUAAGCCCCAGUAAACGGCGGCCGUAACUAUAACGGUCCUAAGGUAGCGAAAUUCCUUGUCGGGUAAGUUCCGACCC
rnacentral:rRNA from 1 species